CAGCAGCCGCGGGAAUACGGAGGGUGCAAGCGUUAAUCGGAAUUACUGGGCGUAAAGCGCACGCAGGCGGUUUGUUAAGUCAGAUGUGAAAUCCCCGAGCUUAACUUGGGAAUGGCAGUGGAUACUGGCUCGCUAGAGUGUGUCAGAGGAUGGUGGAAUUCCCGGUGUAGCGGUGAAAUGCGUAGAGAUCGGGAGGAACAUCAGUGGCGAAGGCGGCCAUCUGGGACAACACUGACGCUGAGGCACGAAAGCGUGGGGAGCAAACAGGAUUAGAUACCCCCGUAGUCCCUGUCUCUUAUAC
rnacentral:rRNA from 1 species